rnacentral:other from 1 species
AAAUCCCUGCGUUGUGCGUGGCUACUUACGUUUUGUACCUACACCGAAAAUACGGGAAUCUAACUCUGGCAUUGGACUUUAUGCCCCCGAGAGGGGACAAAGAAAAAGGUCGGGAGGAUACCCACCUGCAAAAGUUGCAGGGAGCAAAACGAGGUCCACGGCAUAUGCGGGGAUUUU